UGAGGAAUAUUGCGCAAUGGAGGCAACUCUGACGCAGCCAUGCCGCGUGCAGGAAGAAGGCGCUACGCGUUGUAAACUGCUUUUAUCCGGGAAGAAACCCCAGGACGUGUCCUGGGUUGACGGUACCGGAGGAAUAAGCACCGGCUAACUUCGUGCCAGCAGCCGCGGUAAUACGAAGGGUGCAAGCGUUAUCCGGAUUCAUUGGGUUUAAAGGGUGCGUAGGCGGGACAGCAAGUCAGCGGUGAAAUCCCGUGGCUUAACCACGGAAUUGCCGUUGAUACUGCUGUUCUUGAGUACGCUUGACGUGGGCGGAAUGUGCCGUGUAGCGGUGAAAUGCUUAGAUAUGGCACAGAACACCGAUAGUGAAGACAGCUCACGAAGGCGAAACUGACGCUGAGGCAC
rnacentral:rRNA from 1 species